rnacentral:lncRNA from 1 species
AAUUUACCAGCCAGCGCUGGUGCAUUCGACCUCUGCGCAACGAGAUACAAUUGGUGAGCGCCGCUCUUGUUGGGCUCUGGCCAGCUCUUCGGGCAGCCGGGGGUGUCUGUCGGGAGCCCCCCGGCCGGUUCCCGGGAGGGAUGCACGGGAGGAGUCCCGGGGUCCCGGGGGACUCCUCGGCCGCUCUCCGUGGUGCUGCAGCCGCCGCCCGCGGUGCCUCCUGCGGGAGGGCAGGAUCCCCUUCCCCGGGAGCACGGCCGGCCGUGCCGCUAACUCCUCCCUUCGGAUGCAAGGGCUGCACCGCCACAAGCCAUCCUCUCGCCGCCCCCCUCCUUCUCCUUUCUCCCGUUUCGACAGAGCGAGCGGGCUUGCUCUGCCUGCGCGGCGGCGGCUGCCCACCGCGGACCCCGUGGGCUUGGGGCGGGUGCUUUAAUUUUGGCAGGACCUGCCCGCCGCCCUUCCCGGAUAAACUUGGGCCGGCGCCCCCCGGCACCGCGUUUUGGGGCUGGUGGGCUCCCGGCUGCCUGCGGGGAUGCCCAGCAUCCAAUAAUGCAAUGGCUGGAAGACCACAACGUGUCAGAUUAACUGGGUGGACACAUUGGAUAUUAGCAACAAUUCUGCUGCUGUGGAGUUACCAGAUCAGUGGACAAGUGAAAGAAGUAAAAACAGCAACAACAGCAACAACAAAAGCUAAGGAUGAACAUUUCAGGAUGAUCUAGAUAGGAAUACUACUUUGCAUUUUAUUCUGUAAAAUCUGAUUUUUGUUUCUGUGGAGGACCUGAAAGGAAGAGGGCAUAUUUUUUCUCUUUCAACAGCCACUAGAAAAAAAUAAGUAUAGGAAGAUGAAGCAAAGAUAACACAGGUGUUUAAAAUAAUCUUGAAUUCUUAACAGAACUAAAAUUUCUGUACUUUGAGUACUUAUGAAUGUAAAUUCACAUGCUGUGGGAUUUUGAAUAUUCUUUAAGUGCAUUUUUCAUGUAAAAUAUGAAUGUACACUAGAAUGUAGAUCCAGAAAAGAAGACAUAGCUUUUUAAAUUAUUUUCAUUAUUAGCAAUUAUAUUUGAAUCAUAACAAAUACGUGAAUCUGAUGAUGUAAUAGUUUCUCCAGUUUUCUUGGUUCUUUAUCAUGUUAAAAAUAAUAACAGAGAAAUGAGCUUGACAAAGAACAAAAAGUUCCAACAGAGUAAAAUGACUUACCCAAGCAGGAAAACAUCUCCAAUUCCUGAUUGUCUUUUUUGUUUGUUUGUUUUUGUUUAAUUUUGUAUGCUGUACAGUGGUAAAAAAUAAAAUUAUGUGCUGGAAAGAAGCA